GAUGAUGAUGAUGAUGCAAAGUCAUCGCUUUCGGUAGAUAAAUUAUUGGUGAAUGAAUCAUCGAAAGAGGAGGAGCAAGGAAAGGAAACCUUAAUAUCCGCAUGGUCGCUAUUCUUAGACGGAGGCAUUAUUCUCGAAGUUGGCGUUACACUGGACGAGUACUUUUUCGAUUCCAUCGUGCAAAUAUCAUGUCCUCCGCAUUAUGAAGACCAGUAUUUACAAUUUGAGAGUUGCGAAUGGAAAGAAAUAUUCAAUUUUAAAACGGAACACUUAAUUAAACAUAUGGUGCAGUGUACGCCUAAAAGAAGGAGCAAGCAUGAAAUUUUUACCCAGUCCAAAAUAAUAAUACUUGAAGCGGAAGAAGAAGAAGGCGUUAGAUGUAUUCGAAUAAGCGAAUCAGAUAAAUCUAUACUAUUUUCCAAGCAAGCAGUCGAUAUGAUAUUUAACGCUUCCGAAGUGAUUACUCAAAAACUGAAUGUCGUCAAUCACUAUGCGAUGUAUUGUCUUUAUGAUGACUUUACGCGUGAGUUGGCAAAAAUUCUACAUACCGAAGGUGUUACUAGCGAAGAGAGCAUUUUAUCCAGAGCGAAAAUCAUAUGCCAAAAUCUCAAAUUCUUAACAUCGCUAUGCAGUUGGAAGGAAAAGUAUGAUAAUUUGGAAGAUAAGCUCAUUUCCUUUCUAGUUAGCAAUAUGAAUAAUUAUUUUUCGCACACGA